AACUGAGGACUGAGGGUGACCACCUUCCAUUGGCCAGAGUCCUGGACUGAAAUGAAAAGGUGAAAGCGAGUUGAGUACCAGCAUGCAUUGCUCUCCACUUCCUGACGACAGGUGCCUCAACAUCCGGUCGCCACCGUACCUUUGUGAGAAACAAAUUGUUACCGUUCCUCUUCAACAUGAGCGGCUGCUAAUCUUGCGACUCUGGAAGUUACAAGUGUUCUGCUGCGAGGCUGAGCCCAAGGUCAGAAAGAGGGGCCAGUUCUAAGCCCCAAAUUGUUCAUUGGUUGAGGCUUUGGAAGCCAGGCUAAUGAGAUGAGGAGCUUGGGGGUGGAUGCAAUUCCUGGCCUAUAGGAAAAAGGGGCGGGGAUUUCUCAACUCUGGAGGGAUUUUAAAUCCCUUGUCUUGAGCCAAACCAUUACUUUGGCCAUUUUUACCUUUUUUUUUUUUUUUUAAAAUCUGUGCUGAAUCCUUUCCUAUAGAACUUUAUAUUCAAAACGGCCUUUCCCCCUACUCGAAUUUGUUAUUAGCUUAUUUCCAGCACUCCCUGGCCAUGACAGACUGCUCUCCCUCUAACACAAGGCAAAGUAACCUUUUCUUCCUUAAGUCGCUUUGCCGGGGAUGCAAAGGCUGUGGUUUUUGUUCCAGCAGUAACUAAUAACUAAGCCUAUUACAUCGAAGCUGCUGCCACGUGCCCCUUUCUAAGAUGAAACUCAUUCACACCUCACUGCACUGCUACCCCCCAAACACCCCGAACUGCAAAGAACCAUCCGGCUUUCCCAAAGCUUCCCAGUCCUUUCAAGUGUAUCUCUUCCAUAAAAGGCCAGCAUCGCUGAGCUACUUUAGCGCCUACUGAAAAAGGUCUUCCGUGGCGUCGGACCCACCAGUGAGGCGGCGCCUCUCAGAAUGUCAAGCAGUUAUUGACGCCUCGGUUUGUGUUAGCCUUGGCUGUGUUCUGUUUCUCAUCCGCUGUGUGCUUCCCCUGGAGCGGAACCACAGUUCUGCUCAAAAGGAGAGGCAGCCCGGAGGCUCCAAUUACUCACCGUCCAAGAACGUGUCAUCACAGGAAGGAACAAAGUGCCAAAGAGCCUCAGCUGUGUCUUCAUAGGAACGGGGCUGCGAUGCACCCAAUAGGUUCCCGCCUGGCCCUACAGACUGUCCCUGUCAUCGGAGUCUGCCGGAGGAUUCAUUUCUGAGCCUUCCCCUUCAUUCCUUCCGCUGUGCUUUGAAUGAAAUGCCACUCGGCUCAGGCUCACGAGUUCGAACACUCAGUCCUCAGCUCCCGGCAAAGUUUGGGAAGGUUAUGGAACCUGUGGAAGGGAAGAUAAAGCUACAGCAAGUGAGUCGCUGGGUAAGUGAGUCGCUGAGUGGGUGGACAUUGACGCUUAUGGACUGACUCUGCCUUCCGUGUCUUUGCUGCUUGUGGUCCACGGAGAUGUGAAUGAACAGCCUCACACUCCCUCCAUUGUGCCUUCACCACCACAAUGGAUGGGGCCAUCAAAAUGUGAGCCAAAAUGAACUCGUCAGUCCUUUGAAUUGCUGCUUGGUUACAGCAACGAUGAACAUGAGUUCACAUUCAAGGCUCCGAGCCGGCAGCUCUGGAAUCUAUGGAGGUGCUGCUAUCAUGGAGAUGGAUGUCUUCGAUCACGCUGGCCUACCUGCUCCUGGGGCUGGGGAGUGCCCACCCUGUGACCACGGAUGGCAAAGAGUGCACUGGAGACCAUCCUGCAGCAGUCAAGGUGGACCCUGACUACAUCUGUCUCUGUCCUGAGGAUUGUGGCUUCUAGGUUGACUCGCACUGGUAGUAAAAAUGUCCUAAACAGUGCCCCAGAGCCCAGAAUCAAGCCCACGGAUAUUGAUGCUGAAAUGGAUGGAGGUAUUCAUCCGGGAAGACCAGGGAAGCAGGAAGCUGCAAAACCACUAAGACCUGCUCAGAGCCACGUUGCACAGGACACCUCCGGAAUGUGGCUCUUCCUAACGGAGCCUUCAGCUCAGCUUUCCAGUACCCCGGGUGGAUGGUUAAUACCAUCUCAGAAAGAAGUGAAAGGCUAAAACAAGCCCACGGAGACCAGUACUCAGAUGCUAUCUGUCGUUUUGCUUUGACUAGCCCAGCCUGAACUCCCAUUGCGAAGUCCCAACUUGGUCUAAGAAGAAUGCUGGACUACCUGCCAUUUCCUUCCAAGCAGCAAGGAGGAAGACAUUGGGGAGGGUAUCUAAGAAGCACAGUAUGCCUCCUAGCAGUGCCUGUUGUCCUGGGAGCUACCUGCCCAGCCAUUCUCUGGACAUGGCCUUCCACAUCCCAUGAGUGGACAUGGUUAUAGAUUGCUGCUUAAAAAGCCAGAAAGAAAGGUGUCUUAGCAGGUUUCGUUGCCUCCAGAGUACAGUAAAGAUUCUCCUCAGAAGGAAGAUUAGCGGGGGCUUCUAGGACAGAAGGACUUUCCAGCCUACCCCUCCCCUUCAGGUCCUCUCUGUGCUUCGGCUCCCCCCUCAAACCUCCAUUCCCUAUGUUUGUGAAAUGAAUAACCUUGGGUCAGGCCGGGCAUCCUCCCUCUGAGAGAAGAUAUGAUAGAGAUUAUUAAAAUGAAAAGAAAAGGAGAGAAAGAAUUAUCUUUAACUCCUAGGAAGGAAAACAAGCUGGUGUUGCGGGCAGGAGAGGAGGGGACACUGCCCAGCAAUGUCAGGGCUCCAGGGGAGCAGGCUAAUUGUGGGCUCCCUGCCAUGGAGCCUUUUGAAACAGAAGAAUUCUUUUGAAAUGUGGUUAAUUACCCCCUACCUGGGUUUAAGAAGACACUUUUUGCAUUUGAGGCUUUUUCCAAAUGAGCCUGGCCUGGAUUCCUGCUUCUUCCCCGGGUGACUAAUGGAGCUGGAGGUAAGGGCUGGCAGGGGGCAGGAGGCAGAGGAAGAGCAGUUGACUUCAGGGUGGCUCCCUUCAGCCUCCUGGGAUACAGAAUGCCAGCAUGCAGGGACAGGGCGACAAGCCACGUGGUCUGAGGAACUAAGGGGGACUGUCACUUACAAUGAAAGGCUCUUUCUUCCUUCUUCCAGCAGAGGUUGCAGAGGAUGGCUAAGAGCUUGUGGCUGGGGUGGAGGAGAGCGGAGGCUAAGAGGCCGGAGAAGAGGAAAGGGCCAGGCUCUGGUCUAUAGAGGCAGAGCCAGCCACCACAGCCAGCACUCCACAGAGAACUGACCUGACUGCAGGCUGCUCUCAGCCCUGCUUCUCUGCAAAGCCCAGGAUCAAGACAGACCUGGUCAACGUGACGACAGAAGACAGGAAUGCACCUUAGUAUGGAGGAGAUGCAGGGAAGGCUGAGGAGACGCUUGCCACAGAAUCUUGAGGAACUUGAGUUUGAUCCCCAGAACCCAGGCGAA